GUAUAUUUAUUUAUCAUUAACUUGUCUCAUCUUUUCCUUUUUGCAGUGAGUGCUGGUAUGCUUUGUUUUCAACGAGGAGGAAGCUGCUUUCAACCUCCCUGUCCUGUAGGCUUCUACUUUAUUGGACAAUGGGAUUGUAGCAGCACGGAAGUUUGCUGUAAACAACAAUAAUGUCAUCUACAUCUACUGCCGUGGAUAUCUUCAACAACUGGCGAAUGACCUGACAUCACCAUGUGCUAUCACUUUAUCUUUCUUUACAUAAAUCCAAAUUGCUAUCUAUCAGACUCUAAAAAUGCAUUAAAGUAAAACUUGGAAAUUUUUCCUUGAAAUACAGUUAAAUGAGCAAA